UGGGGAAUUUUGGACAAUGGGCGAAAGCCUGAUCCAGCAAUGCCGCGUGUGUGAAGAAGGCCUUCGGGUUGUAAAGCACUUUUGUCCGGAAAGAAAUCCUUGGCUCUAAUACAGUCGGGGGAUGACGGUACCGGAAGAAUAAGCACCGGCUAACUACGUGCCAGCAGCCGCGGUAAUACGUAGGGUGCAAGCGUUAAUCGGAAUUACUGGGCGUAAAGCGUGCGCAGGCGGUUUGCUAAGACCGAUGUGAAAUCCCCGGGCUCAACCUGGGAACUGCAUUGGUGACUGGCAGGCUAGAGUAUGGCAGAGGGGGGUAGAAUUCCACGUGUAGCAGUGAAAUGCGUAGAGAUGUGGAGGAAUACCGAUGGCGAAGGCAGCCCCCUGGGCCAAUACUGACGCUCAUGCACGAAAGCGUGGGGAGCAAACAGGAUUAGAUACCCUGGUAGUCCACGCCCUAAAACGAUGUCAACUAGUUGUUGGGGAUUCAUUUCCUUAGUAACGUAGCUAACGCGUGAAGUUGACCG
rnacentral:rRNA from 1 species